GACGAACGCUGGCGGCGUGCUUAACACAUGCAAGUCGAACGGAAAGGCCCUGCUUUUGUGGGGUGCUCGAGUGGCGAACGGGUGAGUAACACGUGAGUAACCUGCCCUUGUCUUUGGGAUAACUUCAGGAAACUGGGGCUAAUAUCGGAUAGGAGCUCCUGCUGCAUGGUGGGGGUUGGAAAGUUUCGGCGCUUGGGGCUGUACUCGCGGCUUAUCAGCUUGCUGGUGGGGUAGUGGCUUACCAAGGCUUUGACGGGUACGCGGCCUGUGAGGGUGACCGGCCACCUUGGGACUGAGGUACGGCCCAGACUCCUACGGGAGGCAGCAGUGGGGAAUAUUGCACAAUGGGCGGAAGCCUGAUGCAGCAGCGCCGCGUGCGGGAUAACGGUCUUCGGGGUGUAAACCGCUUGCGCCUGUGACGAAGCGUGAGUGACGGUAAUGGGUAAAGAAGCACCGGCUAACUACGUG
rnacentral:rRNA from 1 species